rfam:Asian citrus Psyllid, Diaphorina citri - Florida Strain, whole genome shotgun sequence.
CGCAGAGGCGAUAGCACGAUGAAUGUACAUACCAGUUCCCAAUAGAUCACUGAAGUUAAGCAACGUUACACAUGGUUGGUAUCCGGAUGUAUGAAAAUCUCUUGAGAAAUUUUACGA